AAAGCUCCGGCGGUUAGAGAUGGGCAUGCGGGACAUUAGCUUGUUGGUAAGGUAACGGCUUACCAAGGCUGCGAUGUCUAGGGGGUCUGAGAGGACUAUCCCCCACACUGGUACUGAGACACGGACCAGACUCCUACGGGAGGCAGCAGUGAGGAAUAUUGCGCAAUGGAGGAAACUCUGACGCAGCCAUGCCGCGUGCAGGAAUAAGGCCCUAUGGGUUGUAAACUGCUUUUAUACGGGAAGAAAUAUAUCUACGUGUAGAUAUUUGACGGUACCGUACGAAUAAUGAUCGGCUAACUCCGUGCCAGCAGCCGCGGUAAUACGGAGGAUCCAAGCGUUAUCCGGAUUUAUUGGGUUUAAAGGGUCCGCAGGCGGGAAAUUAACUCAGUGGUGAAAUCCUACAGCUUAACUGUAGAACUGCCAUUGAUACUGGUUUUCUUGAGUACA
rnacentral:rRNA from 1 species